UAUUAUUAUUAUUAUUAUUAUUGUAUAUUUUUUUCAGGAACAAAUAUCUAUAUAAUGAAUCCCAGCUAGUUUGGGACUAAGGUUAGUCAAGAACUAAGUUGCUAGUUAAGGACAACACCGACGUAUGACUGAGAUUUGUAGCUCAUGACAUCCUGAAUUUUUUAUUGCAAGUUGAACAGAUAACAGCUAUAGCAAAUACACAAGCAAAAGCCAGAAUUCACAUUAAACCUGAUAAGAAGAAAAGGAAAGGCCCAAUUUUGAGUUCCCAAAAUAGCACAAAACACCAAACAGCCUAUAGCGUUUGAAACAAGGGAUAACAGAUGCAAUAAAACAGGGUUUUGAGCUACUGAAUACCUAAAUAACAUGGGUUCAUAACGCUUAAAGACAUAAAUUUUACUUCCAGACGCAAAAAUUUGAAGACUUCGAUAUGCUUAAACAACUUUAUAGCAACACACAGGUAUAGUCGACAAAAGAUGUAUCAGUGGACAUGUAUAUAUGUUGAUAAUACUUACACCACAUGGGAAAAUAUAAGGCAAAUAUAUGAACAAGAAUAGAAGAGAAUUUUUUCGAGAGCAAAUUUCAUAUUUGGACCGAGUAGUGAAACUACGCAAGGCACAUAUAUGAACAAGAAUAAAAGAGAAUCAGAGGACCAACAAGUAAAAUGCCGAGAAAACAAUAAAGUUAGAAACUUUUACAUGAGAAAGCAUGAAGCAAAGAGAAAAGAAAAAAGGGUAAAGGAAGGAAGAGAAGCACAGACUAUUGGCACCACCAAGCGGAGUGACGGCGUCAACGAAUCGUUCGUGAAGAUCGGAAGUCCAACGGAGGCGAGGUUUGGGAUCGGAAGUCAAGACAAGGCAUGGCUCUGCUGCUCCAAUUUUUUGAGUAUUAGUAGUGUGAUUCUGAUUUUGCCUUUGGACUUGCAUAUCUUCCUGAUGACUCACUAUCCCAUUCCCACCAGCAGGUCCAGCACCGCCGGGGUGGGGCCGAAUCGGCCUCUGGAACAUGAAGUACUUUUUCCCUUAAUUAAGGGAAAUGGUUAGAAGAAAAAGCCCACACCCCAUCACACCACCAACCAGCCAGCCAAAAAUUGGAGUGAGGGGGUUUUUCUAUAGAAAAUCCCCCAAUUUUUCCCAAUUCCCAGCGAUGAAGAAGGGCACUAAGUCUCAACCGUGCACUCCAAUUUUACUGCGCUUUUUCCAAUGGUUCGAAACCUAGUUCCAUCUGGGAAGGGAAGCCUUCCCUUUCAUUUCCUUCUUUUUCUUCAUCCUCUCUAUCAUUUCUCUCAACCACCCACAAUAACUGCAACACUUUCAGGAGGCUUCAACCGGUUUCAUUGUCAAUGGCGGAUUCGCGUCCAACCACUGUUCUUGUCACUGGAGCUGG
rnacentral:misc_RNA from 1 species